rnacentral:rRNA from 1 species
GACGAACCGUCCAAACGUUAUUCGGAAUCACUGGGCUUAAAGGGUGCGUAGGCGGCCUGGCAAGUUGGGUGUGAAAUCCCUCGGCUCAACCGAGGAAUUGCGCUCAAAACUGCCAAGCUAGAGGGAGACAGAGGCGAGCGGAACUCAGGGUGGAGCGGUGAAAUGCGUUGAUAUCCUGGGGAACACCAGUAGCGAAAGCGGCUCGCUGGGUCUUUUCUGACGCUGAGGCACGAAAGCUAGGGGAGCGAACGGG